AUUGAAUGCUGGCGGCAGGCCUAACACAUGCAAGUCGAACGAGUGGCGGACGGGUGAGUAAUGUCUGGGAAACUGCCCGAUGGAGGGGGAUAACUACUGGAAACGGGAGCUAAUACCGCAUACCAUCAGAUGUGCCCAGAUGGGAUUAGCUAGUUGGUGGGGUAACGGCUCACCUAGGCGACGAUCCCUAGCUGGUCUGAGAGGAUGACCAGCCACAAUGGAACGGAGACACGGUCCAGACUCCUACGGGAGGCAGCAGUGGGGAAUAUUGCACAAUGGGCGCAAGCCUGAUGCAGCCAUGCCGCGUGUGUGAAGAAGGCCUUGGGGUUGUAAAGCACUGUCAGCGGGGAGGCGUUACCCGCAGAAGAAGCACCGGCUAACGCCGUGCCAGCAGCCGCGGUAAUAC
rnacentral:rRNA from 1 species